UUAAAGAUAGCGUAAUAGCUCACUGGUCAAGAGAUCUCGUGCCGAAAAUAUAGCGGGGCUAAGCAUCACACUGAAGCUGCGGAUUCAUAUAGUAAUAUAUGAGUGGUAGAGGAGCGUUCUGGAUGGGCAGAAGCAUGAUUGUGAAGACAUGUGGACUGUCCAGAAGUGAUAAUGCUGACAUGAGUAACGAUAAAUAAGGUGAAAAACCUUAUCGCCGUAAACCCAAGGUUUCCUGAGCUAGGGUCAUCCUCUCAGGGUUAGUCGGGUCCUAAGCCGAGGCUAGAAAGCGUAGGUGAUGGGAAACAGGUUAAUAUUCCUUUACUAAUUAUAUUGUGCGAUGCAGGGACGGAGAAGGAUAUGUCUACUGGGUAUUGGUAUCCCAGGGAAAGUAUGUAGGCUCGGUUGGUAGUGAAGUACGCCAACCUUAUGCUGAGGUAUGAGACCAUUUUUCGAGCAAUCGAAGAAGAAGUGACAGACUCCAAGCUUCCUAGAAAAGCUGCUAAGUUUAGAUAUAAUUAUCCGUACCGUAAACCAACUCAGGUGGGUGAGUAGAGAAUACUAAGGCGCUUGAGAUAACCGUUGUUAAGGAACUCGGCAAAUUGCAGCCGUAACUUCGGGAGAAGGCUGGCCUUUUAGCGUGUAAAGACUUGCUCUUGAAGCGUUAGAGGGUUGCAAAGAGCAGGGGGUAGCGACUGUUUACCAAAAACACAGGACUCUGCUAAGUCGUAAGACGAUGUAUAGGGUCUGACGCCUGCCCAGUGCCGGAAGGUUAAGAGGAGUUGUUAGGGGUAACCCGAAGCGACGAAUUGAAGCCCCGGUGAACGGCGGCCGUAACUAUAACGGUCCUAAGGUAGCGAAAUUCCUUGUCGGGUAAGUUCCGACCUGCACGAAUGGCGUAACGACUUCCCCACUGUCUCAACAACGGACUCAGUGAAAUUGAAUUCGCGGUGAAGAUGCCGCGUACCCGCAGCAAGACGAAAAGACCCCGUGCACCUUUACUAUAGUUUGACGCUGGUUACGGGAAUUACAUGUGUAGGAUAGGUGGGAGGCUUUGAAGCAGUGGCGCUAGCCAUUGUGGAGUCAACCUUGAAAUACCACCCUUGUGAUUUCUGUAGUCUAACCUAGGCAUUUACAGUGUCAGGGACCGCGUCUGAUGGGUAGUUUGACUGGGGCGGUCGCCUCCUAAAGAGUAACGGAGGCGCACAAAGGUGGGCUCAACCUGAUUGGAAACCAGGUGUCGAGUGCAAAGGCAUAAGCCCGCUUAACUGCGAGAGAAACGACUCGAGCAGGUACGAAAGUAGGUCUUAGUGAUCCGGCGGUUCUUCAUGGGAAGGCCGUCGCUCAACGGAUAAAAGGUACGCCGGGGAUAACAGGCUUAUCUCCCCCAAGAGUUCACAUCGACGGGGAGGUUUGGC
rnacentral:rRNA from 1 species